ensembl:snRNA U6 U6 spliceosomal RNA
GUGCUCAUGUUUACAACCUGUACUGACAGAACAGUACAGAGAUUAGCAUGACCCAUGUACAAGGAUGACACAAAAAAUUCAAUAAGCUUCUAUAUUGUU